GUUGUACUUGAAAGGAUCCAAGAAGAAUCCAUUCAGACAGAAUCUGUUGUCACAUUUAGUAAAGGGGAUGAAGUGGAGGCCUUCUACUCUCCUGAGAAAACAUGGUACCGGGCAAAGGUUUUGGGGAAAAGGAAGAACCCAGAAGGUUACAGAGUGAAGUAUGUGUGUGAUAGCUAUGUAGAAGUUGUAAAGCC